rnacentral:lncRNA from 1 species
AUGCAAGGAAGAACAUGAUAUAUCCAAAUGACAUGAGUGAAUUUCAACAUCAUAUAAUUGUCAAGGAUAUGAUUUUGUUGGCUUCUUCUUCCAUCUCCUAAGAAGGGGUUGUUCAUACUUGGCCAUGUCAAAAUUGCUUUUGAUGUGAGCUGAUGGCAAUAUUGUGAAGUGUAGUUCUUCCAAGUACCUAUAAAAGAUUAUAUGAAAUACAAGGGAGCAUAGUUUUUAAAGAUAUAAGAUAGUGUCAAAUCAAG